rnacentral:rRNA from 1 species
CCUACGGGUGGCAGCAGUGGGGAAUAUUGCACAAUGGGGGAAACCCUGAUGCAGCGACGCCGCGUGAGUGAAGAAGUAUUUCGGUAUGUAAAGCUCUAUCAUCAUUUAAGAAAUACUCACUUUCCGGUCAACAGACGGUACCUAACUAAGUACCACCGGCUAACUACGUGCCAGCAGCCGCGGUAAUACGUAGGUUGCAUGCGUUAUCCGGAUUUUUUGGGUGUAAAGGGAGCGUAGAAGGCAGCGCAAGUCUGAAGUGAAAUCCCAUGGCUUAACCAUGGGACUGCUUUGGAAAGUGUGAAGCUGGAGUGCAGGAGAGGUAAGCGGAAUUCAUAGUGGAGCGGUGAAAUGCGUAGAGAUUAGGAAGAACACCAGUGGCGAAGGCGGCUUACUGGACUGUAACUGACGUUGAGGCUCGAAAGCGUGGGGAGCAAACAGGAUUAGAUAC